AGAGCUUUAAUAUUACAGAAUUACUUUUGCUAUAUAUUAAUAUAACUGAGCUUGGUCAUAAUUGCUAUUCCUACUAUGUUUGUUAGUAAAAACUCUGGUCUCUAGUCUUGUUAAAAUCCUUUCUUCUCACUGUUUCUAUAAGACAUGUCUUAUAAUUCGUUUGAUUGGAAUAUGCAUAUUUACAAUCACUAUGUUAUGCUAUGUGUUUUUAGAUUCUCGGACGAUUGGCAGCUUCAAUGGACAAACCAUUUGUUUUGGUCUCAAAGAGGUGCCUGGAACCUUGUCAUCCCUCAAACUGUCUAUAGCCUCAAGAUCAAAGAUUUGACACAACAGCUUAGCAUUUUCAG
rnacentral:lncRNA from 1 species